GGUUAAGCGACUAAGCGUACACGGUGGAUGCCCUGGCAGUCAGAGGCGAUGAAGGGCGUGCUAAUCUGCGAUAAGCGCCGGUAAGGUGAUAUGAACCGUUAUAACCGGCGAUACCCGAAUGGGGAAACCCAGUGUGACUCGUCACACUAUCAUUAACUGAAUCCAUAGGUUAAUGAGGCGAACCGGGGGAACUGAAACAUCUAAGUACCCCGAGGAAAAGAAAUCAACCGAGAUUCCCCCAGUAGCGGCGAGCGAACGGGGAGGAGCCCAGAGCCUGAAUCAGCAUGUGUGUUAGUGGAAGCGUCUGGAAAGGCGCGCGAUACAGGGUGACAGCCCCGUACACAAAAGCGCAUGUGCUGUGAGCUCGAUGAGUAGGGCGGGACACGUGGUAUCCUGUCUGAAUAUGGGGGGACCAUCCUCCAAGGCUAAAUACUCCUGACUGACCGAUAGUGAACCAGUACCGUGAGGGAAAGGCGAAAAGAACCCCGGCGAGGGGAGUGAAAAAGAACCUGAAACCGUGUACGUACAAGCAGUGGGAGCCCCACCACUAAGCCAGUGGUGAACUCCACAUCCGCAUCCUUUGCUGAGGAUACGGUUAACGGAGCGAAAGCGACGUUCAACCGCAAAACAAGCAGAGGGGGCUUAGUGGUGGGGUGACUGCGUACCUUUUGUAUAAUGGGUCAGCGACUUAUAUUCUGUAGCAAGGUUAACCGUAUAGGGGAGCCGGAGGGAAACCGAGUCUUAAUUGGGCGUUAAGUUGCAGGGUAUAGACCCGAAACCCGGUGAUCUAGCCAUGGGCAGGUUGAAGGUUGGGUAACACUAACUGGAGGACCGAACCGACUAAUGUUGAAAAAUUAGCGGAUGACCUGUGGCUGGGGGUGAAAGGCCAAUCAAACCGGGAGAUAGCUGGUUCUCCCCGAAAGCUAUUUAGGUAGCGCCUCGUGAAUUCAUCUCCGGGGGUAGAGCACUGUUUCGGCUAGGGGGCCAUCCCGGCUUACCAACCCGAUGCAAACUGCGAAUACCGGAGAAUGUUAUCACGGGAGACACACGGCGGGUGCUAACGUCCGUCGUGAAGAGGGAAACAACCCAGACCGCCAGCUAAGGUCCCAAAGUCAUGGUUAAGUGGGAAACGAUGUGGGAAGGCCCAGACAGCCAGGAUGUUGGCUUAGAAGCAGCCAUCAUUUAAAGAAAGCGUAAUAGCUCACUGGUCGAGUCGGCCUGCGCGGAAGAUGUAACGGGGCUAAACCAUGCACCGAAGCUGCGGCAGCGAACGUAUCACCCAAGACAACUUUACGGAGUUGACGAUUGACGGAGCGAAGCGACGUCAAAGCGUUCAUUAAAGUCGAGUUGGCUUAGGGAUACGUUCGUUGGGUAGGGGAGCGUUCUGUAAGCCUGUGAAGGUGUGUCGUGAGGCAUGCUGGAGGUAUCAGAAGUGCGAAUGCUGACAUAAGUAACGAUAAAGCGGGUGAAAAGCCCGCUCGCCGGAAGACCAAGGGUUCCUGUCCAACGUUAAUCGGGGCAGGGUGAGUCGACCCCUAAGGCGAGGCCGAAAGGCGUAGUCGAUGGGAAACGGGUUAAUAUUCCCGUACUUGGUGUUACUGCGAAGGGGGGACGGAGAAGGCUAUGUUGGCCGGGCGACGGUUGUCCCGGUUUAAGCGUGUAGGUGUGUGUUCCAGGUAAAUCCGGUUCACUUUAACACUGAGGCGUGACGACGAGGCACUACGGUGCUGAAGCAACAAAUGCCCUGCUUCCAGGAAAAGCCUCUAAGCAUCAGGUAACACGAAAUCGUACCCCAAACCGACACAGGUGGUCAGGUAGAGAAUACCAAGGCGCUUGAGAGAACUCGGGUGAAGGAACUAGGCAAAAUGGUGCCGUAACUUCGGGAGAAGGCACGCUGACACGUAGGUGAAGUGAUUUACUCAUGGAGCUGAAGUCAGUCGAAGAUACCAGCUGGCUGCAACUGUUUAUUAAAAACACAGCACUGUGCAAACACGAAAGUGGACGUAUACGGUGUGACGCCUGCCCGGUGCCGGAAGGUUAAUUGAUGGGGUCAGCGUAAGCGAAGCUCCUGAUCGAAGCCCCGGUAAACGGCGGCCGUAACUAUAACGGUCCUAAGGUAGCGAAAUUCCUUGUCGGGUAAGUUCCGACCUGCACGAAUGGCGUAAUGAUGGCCAGGCUGUCUCCACCCGAGACUCAGUGAAAUUGAACUCGCUGUGAAGAUGCAGUGUACCCGCGGCAAGACGGAAAGACCCCGUGAACCUUUACUAUAGCUUGACACUGAACAUUGAGCCUUGAUGUGUAGGAUAGGUGGGAGGCUUUGAAGUGUGGACGCCAGUCUGCAUGGAGCCGACCUUGAAAUACCACCCUUUAAUGUUUGAUGUUCUAACGUGGACCCGUAAUCCGGGUUGCGGACAGUGUCUGGUGGGUAGUUUGACUGGGGCGGUCUCCUCCUAAAGAGUAACGGAGGAGCACGAAGGUUGGCUAAUCCUGGUCGGACAUCAGGAGGUUAGUGCAAUGGCAUAAGCCAGCUUGACUGCGAGCGUGACGGCGCGAGCAGGUGCGAAAGCAGGUCAUAGUGAUCCGGUGGUUCUGAAUGGAAGGGCCAUCGCUCAACGGAUAAAAGGUACUCCGGGGAUAACAGGCUGAUACCGCCCAAGAGUUCAUAUCGACGGCGGUGUUUGGCACCUCGAUGUCGGCUCAUCACAUCCUGGGGCUGAAGUAGGUCCCAAGGGUAUGGCUGUUCGCCAUUUAAAGUGGUACGCGAGCUGGGUUUAGAACGUCGUGAGACAGUUCGGUCCCUAUCUGCCGUGGGCGCUGGAGAACUGAGGGGGGCUGCUCCUAGUACGAGAGGACCGGAGUGGACGCAUCACUGGUGUUCGGGUUGUCAUGCCAAUGGCACUGCCCGGUAGCUAAAUGCGGAAGAGAUAAGUGCUGAAAGCAUCUAAGCACGAAACUUGCCCCGAGAUGAGUUCUCCCUGAGACUUAGAGUCUCCUGAAGGAACGUUGAAGACGACGACGUUGAUAGGCCGGGUGUGUAAGCGCAGCGAUGCGUUGAGCUAACCGGUACUAAUGAACCGUGAGGCUUAACCUU
rnacentral:rRNA from 1 species